CGGUUAUUGAAUCCUUACCCACGGAGACGCUUUCACCGGAGACUGACUACGACGGAAUCCAAAACUGAAGAGAAGAAUCGAGGGAGAGGACAGCCUCGUAGAGUUACAGAACCGUGGUUUAUGUCUUCUGAAACAAGUGUUUGAAAACUAGACCUGAUCGAGCGAGAGAUACUUAAACUACGGAUAAGCGUAGGAAGUUGUUGGAGUUGCAGAACCUUGCUUUAAGUAAGCAUUGUCUCUCUUUAGCUUCUCUUCUUUACUAAUUUGUGUAAUUAGCUACAGAUGUGUUCUUAGGUCUUCUGAAACAAGUGUUUGAGAUAUAGUCUUGAUCUUAAGUUAGUUGUGAUGAGUGUGCAACAACUAACAUUGCUUCUCUGAUGAAAGGCUUCAUCUUGUUGAGAUCUUUUACACUUAGGAGCAUGAGAGGAACUAUCUUGAGGCUGCUAUAAGGACUGUUGUCAAGAAUCAAGAUCAUCCACAUGUGCGAGCCUUGGAAGUUUUGAAUUACUUGAUGAUGAAGACAGGUGAGAUAAUGGUGAAGACAAGUCAAUCCUGAAUUCAACUACUCAAACGAGAUUCUCUAAGUUUCAGCCGUGCUCUCUCAGAACAAACGACCAAGUCGCUUCAGGAUGCUCAAGACAUCACAGGCACAGCCUUUGCAGAGUCGCUGUGAAUUCCGAUGAUCCAUCAAAGUAGAGAGACAUAUUGAAAUCAAAGCAACGGGAGACGAUGAUGAUCCGUAACCAACCGUAAGGUGGUUUGGUUGGAUUCACACAGGACAACCUCGUCUAGUUACAGAAUUGUGCUUAAGUAAGUAAGCUUUUGUCUCUCUUUAGCUUCUCUUCUUUUGUGAACCGUGCUUAAGUAAGUCGCUGUGAAUUCCGAUGAUGAUGAUCAAAGCAACCGGAGACGAUGAUGAUGCGUAACCGUAAGGGUAAGAUUGUAAAGUAAUUUUGAUAUCAUCGUUUAGUUUCAUUGAUAUC